rnacentral:rRNA from 2 species
AUCGGAGACAGGUGCUGCAUGGCUGUCGUCAGCUCGUGUCGUGAGAUGUUGGGUUAAGUCCCGCAACGAGCGCAACCCUCGCCCUUAGUUGCCAGCAUUAAGUUGGGCACUCUAAGGGGACUGCCGGUGAUAAGCCGAGAGGAAGGUGGGGAUGACGUCAAGUCCUCAUGGCCCUUACGGGCUGGGCUACACACGUGCUACAAUGGUGGUGACAGUGGGCAGCGAGACCGCGAGGUCGAGC